CCUACGGGAGGCAGCAGUAGGGAAUUUUGGACAAUGGGCGAAAGCCUGAUCCAGCAAUGCCGCGUGCAGGAUGAAGGCCUUAGGGUUGUAAAGCUCUUUUACCCGAGAUGAUAACGACAGUAUCGGGAGAAUAAGCUCCGGCUAACUCCGUGCCAGCAGCCGCGGUAAUAAUCACUA
rnacentral:rRNA from 1 species